AUGCAGCGGAGCGGAGGUGGAAGUGCCUGGCUUAAAACAGGACAUAUUAGCUGCAUUUAACCUUCAGUUACUCUUUAUAUAGUUAGGUAGGAGUCAGACCAUGUUUCUUUUUGCUGAAAAACAUUACACCAGUCCAAAGAGGGAGAGAGGAAAGAGGGGAACGUGAGGAGAAAGUACAAGGUCAGGAAGAACCAGGCAAAGUUGCCUCCACAUCCCAAGUGGAGGAUGUUGCGGUGGACAGUGGGAAUGAGCAUGCCUGAGCAACAUCUGGGGACGCCUCACUCAGUACCUGGCUAUGAACCGGGGGUCUCACCUGUGGCACCUCCCUCAUCUCUGUGGUCCUGGUCCAGCAGACCAAGCAGCACUGCCCAAGACUCCCUGCUCAGGCACAUGUCAGGCCUGGUUGAUGAUGUGUGUGCAUGCUGGGACACUCAGGUUUAUCCUGGACCGCAGUGGGUAGUGAUUUCCCACAAUCAUGUUGUGUUAUACGUUGCACUGCUUUCAUUUCCACAAUUUGUCACGUGCAAUAGGUCAGGCCCCCCGAAAUUGUGUCAUGUAGUUUGUGACAGACAUGCACUCACAGUUGGGAUGUUCCCACUGUCUUUAUUUACAGAACUGAAAUCAUUUUGUGUGUGCAGAACAAAGGUUGG